ensembl:lncRNA
CCCAUUUUGACCUCGGGACUUCCAGGUUAUACUCGGCACAGAUGUUCCUGUACACUAUGCCGGCCACUUGGUUAUGGCGUUCCAUGUAUGCCUUGCCUGCUAGCAUCUUGCACCCUGCUGUUAUGUGCUGGAUUGUCUCUGGGGCAUCUUUACACAGCCUGCACCUGGGGUCUUGCCUGGUGUGAUAGACCCCAGCCUCUAUGGAUCUUGUGCUCAGAGCUUGUUCUUGUGCUGCCAUGAUUAGUGCCUCUGUGCUGUCUUUCAGUCCAGCUUUGUCCAGCCACUGGUAGGAUUUCUGGAUAUCAGCCACCUCCGCUAUCUGCCGGUGGUACAUACCGUGCAGGGGCCUGUCCUUCCAUGAUGGUUCCUCGCCUUCCUCCUCUUUCUUGGGUUUCUGCUGCCUGAGGUAUUCACUGAGCACGCUGUCAGUUGGGGCCAUCUUCGUGAUGUAUUCAUGGAUGUUUCUUGUCUCAUCCUGGACUGUGCGUACAGCCUCAGGGUGCUGGACUUGGGGUGAAACCCUCCAUGCAUG